rnacentral:rRNA from 1 species
AAUCUGUCUUUUAAUCGACUCUCCACGUUAAAUUUUACUUUUAUUUAAAUCUUAUAUACCUCCAUCUUAAGAAUUAAUAAAUAUAUUUUUUUCUUAAUAAUUUUUUAAUAUGUUAGGUAAAGGUGUAGACAAUAUAAAAGAUAAGAUGGAUUACAUUAAAUUUUAUUUAAAGAUUUUUUAUUAAAUAUAAAUUUGAAAAAGGAUUUAUUAGUAAUUUUUUUAAUAUUAUUUAAUAAUGAACUUGACAAAUAAUGUGC